rnacentral:lncRNA from 1 species
UGUGGCCCAGGGAAGCCAAUGUGGAUACCCCUGAUUUAGAUGAUAGUCCACUUCUGCCACUUCGUUGAGCUUCAUUUAUCUGAUCUGCCACAUGCAAAGGUUAGGGGACAUCCUCUUCAGCUGCAAUGUAGUCUUCUGGGAUCUAAUUAUGAUGUCUCUUGGAAUCUGGCCCACAUACAAGAAUUCAAGCUGGUUUUCCAGGGUGGAGACCAUGAAGAAAUCCCAAUCGGAUUCACUGGAAUUCAUUUACUAUUCAGUAGCAUGACCUAUAAAAACAAACGAAAAGAAUAUGGAACAUAAAACUAAAGAAAAAUGUUGAUAGAAGUUCUCCAGAGAAAGGAAAGUUAAAAGAUCUAACUUCUAUGUGGUUACAAAGGGCAUAAUCAAGACCAUUGGCUAGAUGCUAUAGGAGGUAGCUGUAAGUACAAUGAAUGGGAAAGCCUUUGUAAUAUACAGACUGGUUCAGUAAUGAAGUGGAAUAUGUUGACUUUUCCAUCACUGCAAUGUUCAAGAAGAGAUACAUAUUUACUGUUUUCUCAGGGGUACUGUGAAGAAGAUGCCUGUGAUGAUAUGCGGUUGAACAUUGUUUUCACAUUUAAUGAAGUAAUGGCUAGUGGACCGGGUCACCUGACAGUACCAGUCAACCUACAGGCUCAAACUGAUUUGUACUUUGGAGGGAAGGAGAAGUGGCUUUGGAAACUGCAACCUUUUCUAAAUCAAGGAGAUGCUGCUUCUGAGACUGAAAUUCUUAACAACAUGUUCCUUGUGACCUAUUUGGAUCACAAAUCCAGUUCCUUGCUGAAUAAAGAAUAA